rnacentral:rRNA from 1 species
UACGGAGGGUGCAAGCGUUAAUCGGAAUUACUGGGCGUAAAGCGCACGCAGGCGGUCUGUUAAGUCAGAUGUGAAAUCCCCGGGCUUAACCUUGGAACUGCAUUUGAAACUGGCAGGCUUGAGUCUCGUAGAGGGGGGUAGAAUUCCAGGUGUAGCGGUGAAAUGCGUAGAGAUCUGGAGGAAUACCGGUGGCGAAGGCGGCCCCCUGCACGAAUACUGACGCUCAGGUGCGAAAGCGUGGGGAGCAAACAGG